GGAGGGGUUCCCGAGCGGUCAAAGGGGUCAGACUGUAAAUCUGCUGCCAGAUGGCUUCGGAGGUUCGAAUCCUCCCCCCUCCA
rnacentral:tRNA from 1 species